rnacentral:rRNA from 1 species
AGCGAACGCUGGCGGCAGGCCUAACACAUGCAAGUCGAGCGCCGUAGCAAUACGGAGCGGCAGACGGGUGAGUAACGCGUGGGAACGUGCCCUUCGGUUCGGAAUAACCCAGGGAAACUUGGGCUAAUACCGGAUACGUCCGAAAGGAGAAAGAUUUAUCGCCGAAGGAUCGGCCCGCGUAAGAUUAGCUAGUUGGUGAGGUAACGGCUCACCAAGGCUAUGAUCUUUAGCUGGUCUGAGAGGACGAUCAGCCACACUGGGACUGAGACACGGCCCAGACUCCUACGGGAGGCAGCAGUGGGGAAUAUUGGACAAUGGGCGCAAGCCUGAUCCAGCCAUGCCGCGUGAGUGAUGAAGGCCUUAGGGUUGUAAAGCUCUUUUGGUAGGGACGAUAAUGACUGUACCUGCAGAAUAAGCCCCGGCCAACUUCGUGCCAGCCGCCGCCGUAAUAC